GACGAACGCUGGCGGCGUGCUUAACACAUGCAAGUCGAACGGAAAGGCCCUGCUUUUGUGGGGUGCUCGAGUGGCUAACGGGUGAGUAACACGUGAGUAACCUGCCCUUGACUUUGGGAUAACUUCAGGAAACUGGGGCUAAUACCGGAUAUGAGCUCCUGCUGCAUGGUGGGGGUUGGAAAGUUUCGGCGGUUGGGGAUGGACUCGCGGCUUAUCAGCUUGUUGGUGGGGUAGUGGCUUACCAAGGCUUUGACGGGUAGCCGGCCUGAGAGGGUGACCGGACACAUUGGGACUGAGAUACGGCCAAGACUCCUACGGGAGGCAGCAGUGGGGAAUAUUGCACAAUGGGCGGAAGCCUGAUGCAGCAACGCCGCGUGCGGGAUGACGGCCUUCGGGUUGUAAACCGCUUUCGCCUGUGACGAAGAGUGAGUGACGGUAAUGGGUAAAGAAGCACCGGCUAACUACGUG
rnacentral:rRNA from 1 species